UACGUAGGGGGCAAGCGUUGUCCGGAUUCAUUGGGCGUAAAGAGCGUGUAGGCGGCCAGGUAGGUCGGUUGUGAAAACUGGAGGCUCAACCUUCAGACGUCGACCGAAACCAUCUGGCUAGAGUCCGGGAGAGGAGAGUGGAAUUCCUGGUGUAGCGUGAAAUGCGCAGAUAUCAGGAAGAACACCCGUGGCGAAAGCGGCUCUCUGGAACGGUACUGACGCUGAGACGCGAAAGCGUGGGGAGCGAACAGG
rnacentral:rRNA from 1 species